CAAAUACACCCUCCGUCCGAAAAUACUUGUCAUCAAAAUGGAUAAAAGGAAAUGUAUCUAGACGUAUUUUAGUUUUAGAUACAUCUCUUUUUAUCCAUUUUGAUGACAAGUAUUUUCGGACGGAGGGAGUAGAAA
rnacentral:pre_miRNA from 1 species